rnacentral:rRNA from 1 species
AGUGAACGCUGGCGGUAGGCCUAACACAUGCAAGUCGAACGGCAGCACAGUAAGAGCUUGCUCUUACGGGUGGGGAGUGGCGGACGGGAGAGGAAUACAUCGGAAUCUACUUUUUCGUGGGGGAUAACGUAGGGAAACUUACGCUAAUACCGCAUACGACCUACGGGUGAAAGCAGGGGAUCUUCGGACCUUGCGCGAUUGUAUGAGCCGAUGUCGGAUUAGCUAGGUGGCGGGGGAAAGGCCCACCAAGGCGACGAUCCGUAGCUGGUCUGAGAGGAUGAUCAGCCCCCCUGGAACUGGGCCACGGUCCAGACUCCUACGGGAGGCAGCAGUGGGGAAUAUUGGACAAUGGGCGCAAGCCUGAUCCAGCCAUGCCGCGUGGGUGAAGAAGGCCUUCGGGUUGUAAAGCCCUUUUGUUGGGAAAGAAAAGCAGCAGGUUAAUCCCCCGCUGUUCUGACGGUACCCAAAGAAUAAGCACCGGCUAACUUCGUG